GAUGAACGCUGGCGGCGUGCCUAACACAUGCAAGUCGAACGGGAACCGAUUUCGGUCGGGGAGAGUGGCGCACGGGUGAGUAACACGUAGCUCACCUGCCCUCAAGCGGGGGAUAACGGCUCGAAAGGGCAGCUAACACCCCAUAAGCUCACACGAAGUAGGACAGCGUGAGAAAAACCAAGCUCGCAAGAGCCGUGCUAGAGGCUGGGGCUGCGGCCCAUCAGGUAGUUGGUGCGGUAACGGCGCACCAAGCCGACGGCGGGUAGGGGGCCUGAGAGGGUGACCCCCCACACUGGGACUGAGACACGGCCCAGACUCCUACGGGAGGCAGCAGUGAGGAAUAUUGGUCAAUGGGCGCAAGCCUGAACCAGCGACGCCGCGUGGGUGAUGAAGGCCUUCGGGUCGUAAAGCCCUUUUCUUGGUGACGAGCAAGGACGGUAGCCAAGGAAUAAGUCUCGGCUAACUACGUGC
rnacentral:rRNA from 1 species